rnacentral:rRNA from 2 species
UGAUUUUAUUUAAUGGCCGCGGUAUUUUGACCGUGCGAAGGUAGCAUAAUCAUUAGCCUAUUGAUUGUGGGAUUGUAUGAAUGGUUUGACGAAAUAUUGACUGUCUCACGUUAAUUAUUAUAAUUUAAUUUUUUAGUUAAAAAGCUUAAAUUUUUUUAAAGGACGAGAAGACCCUAUAGAUCUUUAUUUUUAUUAUUAAUAUUUUUUUUUGUUUUGUUUUUAAUAUUUUUGUAUAUUAUUUUGUUGGGGUGAUAUUGGGAUAUAAUUAACUCUUUUUUUUUUUUUCAUUUAUUUUU